rnacentral:rRNA from 1 species
UACGUAGGGGGCAAGCGUUGUCCGGAUUUAUUGGGCGUAAAGAGCUCGUAGGCGGCUUGGCAAGUCGGGUGUGAAAACUUCAGGCUCAACCUGGAGCGGCCACUCGAUACUGCUAUGGCUUGAGUCCGGUAGGGGACCACGGAAUUCCUGGUGUAGCGGUGAAAUGCGCAGAUAUCAGGAGGAACACCAGUGGCGAAGGCGGUGGUCUGGGCCGGAACUGACGCUGAGGUGCGAAAGCGUGGGGAGCAAACAGG